ACCUUUACUAUAGCUUCACAUUGGUAUUGGGUAAAUGAUGUGUAGGAUAGCUGGGAGACUCUGAAGCUGCGUCGUCAGGCGUGGUGGAGUCGUUGGUGAAAUACCAGCCUUUAUUUAUCUGAUGCCUAACCCCGAAAGGGAGACAGUGUGUGGUGGGUAGUUUGACUGGGGUGGUCGCCUCCAAAAGAGUAACGGAGGCUUUCAAAGGUACCCUCAGCACGCUUGGUAACCGUGCGCAGAGUGCAAUAGCAUAAGGGUGCUUGACUGUGAGGCCUACAAGCCGAGC
rnacentral:rRNA from 14 species